AAUAAUAAUAAUGGCAUUAGAAACAUAUCUAAAUAAUUCAACUGAUUUGGAAAAAAAAAAAUCUAAAUCAUGAACAAUGAGUGGAAUUUGCGUGGAACAAAACUUGCUUUGGUACUUUAUCAUGACAUUCAGUGACCAGUAGGUGAGCUCUUUUCUGUACUUUCUGCCUUCAGAGGCCUCACAUUGCUCCACUCUCAACACUCAGAGCAGAGCUGAGACUGAGACAGUUGUGGCUUUGAUUACAUAAUGCACGUCUCAGUGUUUUUGAUGUGAUCUUUACGGUGGCCGAAAAGUGCAAAACAAAACAUAAGUUAUAAACACAAUGACAAAUCUGAAAACACGUUAACAAGUCAGACAAAAUGGAAAAGGUAGGUAUAUUUUGUGAAUGGAUUACUUACCACUGAUUGGACGACACAUCGACACAAACCUUUCUGAAAUUAAGGUUGUAGUAUAGUAUUAUUUAUACUAUUUGCACAAGGACUAUUUGUAACUAUUGCACUUUCCUACAUAACUGGUACAGUCUAUUACUGAUACUGCUGCCCAUAAUCUUGUACCUUCUUCUACUGUAAAUACGCUUUAACUUGUCAUAUUUAUUGUUAUUUGAAUUUCUGGUUAGAGGCUAACUGCAUCUUAUUGUUUCUGCAUGUGUACCCUGCACAGUGACAAUAAAGUUGAAUCUCAUCUCAAAAAACAGUAUGUUCCAUUGAUACACUGUAUCCAUCUUGAGUGACAUGAAGAGCUGUACUGGCAUAAGCUUACUGCCAUUAAGCAGUACACCAUGUGUAAGGAUUGUGCCCUACUGCAGGAAGGGGAAGGGUUGGGUGUCAGAUAGUGCUUCCUUCUCAAAAGUACACAGCCACAGUUUUAGUAUCCCCACCUCAGAUGUGUGAUAUAAGUACUAAUGUACCAGUAGUUAAAAAAAGAUAAUAAAUCUGAGAAUAUAUUUUUUUAAUUUCAUUGUACAAACCUGCACGCAGAACCUAAUAAUACAAGAAAUAUAUACCAAUCCAGAAUCACUAACAAUUAUAUGCAUUAAGCCAUUAGAUAAAUAUGAAACCAAUUAAUCUGAUUUAUAGAUAGAUAGACAGAUAGAUAGAUAGAUAGAUAGAUAGAUAGAUAGAAAAUCAUAAAUAAACAGUGGAACAAACCAAAUGAUCUGUAAUACUUUGCGGUGUUUCCCCUAUGCUUGGCUACUUCACCAUGAGGUGCAAUGGCUUCUAUGACCAGUAGGUGAGCCCUUACCUGUUCCUCCGGCCUUUCUAAUUAAAUAGGCCUCUCUCUUCUCAGCUGCAAUCUCAACACUCUGAAAAUUUAUCAUGCAAAUUUAUAAGUUUAACAUACAUAAGCAUUAACUUACAAUAUAUAUUAUAUAAUGUAUAAUAAAUGCCCCGAAAAAGACACCCAUGAGAAAAUUCUGAAUGGUGCACUGCAGGUUUGUUUGUAGCAAUGUUCAUAUUAAAGACUACAUAGACUAGUUGACUUUUCCAUUCAGUAGACACUGCUGUGGGGGGCAAUGGACUGCACACUUAAAAAUAAAGCAUUUUCAGCACCAACGGUGCUGCAAAGAACAUUUUUUGUUUUUAUUUAUUUAUUAUUUUUGGCAAGAACCAUUUUUCAUUGUAUAGGGUUCAUGAAUUGAGCCAUAUGAUUCUUUGGAAAUUAAAGAAGUUAUUUAUGUUUCAUUAUAGGUUCUUUAGAGCAGUGUAUUGGUUCUUCAAGGUAUCAUACAUUAAUAGGUUAAUGGCAUCACUCUUAAGAACCUUACAUUGGAUCCUUAAAGCACUACUAAGUUUUUUUAGAGAAUUUAUGAUAACAUGGUUCCUUGUGAUACUGCUGUGAAGAAACAUUUCUGGUUUCAUUAAAGCACCAGCAAAUAGAAGGUUCUCUAGAGAGAUUAAAAUGUUCUUUGUGCAACUGCAAAGGGUUCUCCUAUGGCAUCAGGCUGAAAAACACCUUUUUGACUCUAAUUGGAACCUGUAUUUUUAAUAGUGUAGACUAAACAGAAAGGCAGAUGGUAAAUAAAGACGCUAAAUGUACUUUCUCUAGGUUUUGCUGUGACCUGAAGUCAAGCGAUGACCUAAAUGACACAUAACUGCAUUUCACAGAGAUGAGAAAUUCCUUUUUGACAAACUGAGUGAGUUGCAGACACAUUGGUAAUUGCCUUAGCCAACCCCAAUAUGUAUGUCAGUUAAGUAAUACCUAAGGUCACAGCCUUUGGAUAUCAGAGGAAUGUAGGCCUGAUAGACGUAUUUACUGAUGAAGCAAUGAGUGAAACUGUAAUAAUGUAAGUGUAACUGUGUACUGUAUGGAUCAGUAAACAGAUGCUGUGUCCUAAAUGCCCAUUUUGUAAGUUGCACAGCAGUGAGGACUUGCUCACUGUAUAUCAUAUAUAAGCACUUAUGAACUGUUAUCUGAACUGAAAUGUUGGUCUGCAAAGAUGAAAUGCAACCUGCGCUACUGUUUCUAUCUUAACCCUCCAAAUACACUGACAAGACAGAUUUAAUGAUACCCAAUCACAGGGCAAUUACAACUCA
ensembl:lncRNA